rnacentral:rRNA from 1 species
UGGGGGAUAUUGCACAAUGGGCGAAAGCCUGAUGCAGCGACGCCGCGUGGGGGAUGAAGGCCUUCGGGUUGUAAACUUCUUUUGCUCUGAACAAGGCAUGCUAAUGGGUGUGUUGAGUGUAGGGGUUGAUUAGCGCCGGCUAACUACGUGCCAGCAGCCGCGGUAAUACGUAGGGCGCGAGCGUUGUCCGGAAUUAUUGGGCGUAAAGGGCUUGUAGGUGGCUGGUUGCGUCUGUCGUGAAAGCUCAUGGCUUAACUGUGGGUUUGCGGUGGGUACGGGCUGGCUUGAGUGCAGUAGGGGAGGCUGGAAUUCCUGGGGUAGCGGUGGAAUGCGCAGAUAUCAGGAGGAAAACCGGGGGCGAAGGCGGGUCUCUGGGCUGUUACUGACACUGAGGAGCGAAAGCAUGGGGAGCGAACAGG